rnacentral:rRNA from 1 species
UACAGAGACUGCAAGCGUUAUUCGGAUUCACUGGGCGUAAAGGGUGCGCAGGCGGCCAAGUGUGUGAGGCGUGAAAGCCUGGGGCUUAACCCCAGAAUUGCACCUCAAACUACAUGGCUAGAGCAUUGGAGAGGGUAGCAGAAUUCAUGGUGUAGCAGUGAAAUGCGUAGAUAUCAUGAGGAAUACCAGAGGCGAAGGCGGCUACCUGGACAAUUGCUGACGCUCAGGCACGAAAGCGUGGGGGAGCAAAAAGGG